AUUGAACGCUGGCGGAAUGCUUUACACAUGCAAGUCGGACGAUGAACCUUAGCUUGCUAAGGGGAUUAGUGGCGAACGGGUGAGUAAUGUAUCGGAACGUAUCCAAUAAUGGGGGAUAACUAGUCGAAAGAUUAGCUAAUACCGCAUACGUCCUACGGGAGAAAGCUAGGGACCUUCGGGCCUGGCGUUAAUGGAGCGGCCGAUAUCUGAUUAGCUAGUUGGUGGGGUAAAGGCUCACCAAGGCGACGAUCAGUAGCUGGUCUGAGAGGACGACCAGCCACACUGGAACUGAGACACGGUACAGACUCCUACGGGAGGCAGCAGUGGGGAAUUUUGGACAAUGGGCGAAAGCCUGAUCCAGCCAUUCCGCGUGAGUGAAGAAGGCCUUCGGGUUGUAAAGCUCUUUCGCAAGAGAAGAAAACUUGAGCUCUAACAUAGCUUGAGGUUGACGGUACCUUGAUAAGAAGCACCGGCUAACUACGUGCCAGCCGCCGCCGUAA
rnacentral:rRNA from 1 species